UUUCCGUAGGUGAACCUGCGGAAGGAUCAUUGCACACACAAAAAACAACUGCAAACAACCCCUUUUAUGAAUUUGUGAAUGUACAAACCCCUUGUGGUCGGGAACUUGUUUCCCCUCUCACUCCUCCUCGCAAGAGGAGCGAGGGAGAGAAGGGAGCAAGGCCCCGAACACGAAACCGCACAAUGAUUUUCCACGUGAAUUUGACUGAACUUGUAUAUAAAAAUAUCAAGAACCCCUUAAAGUCCCCGUCCGGGGGCUUUAUCGAGUUGAGAUUUUUUUUAUGAAAUAAUAAUAAAAAAAUACAACUCUCAGCAACGGAUAUCUUGGCUCUU
rnacentral:misc_RNA from 1 species